rnacentral:rRNA from 1 species
AGGUUAGUGCAAUGGCAUAAGCCAGCUUGACUGCGAGCGUGACGGCGCGAGCAGGUGCGAAAGCAGGUCAUAGUGAUCCGGUGGUUCUGAAUGGAAGGGCCAUCGCUCAACGGAUAAAAGGUACUCCGGGGAUAACAGGCUGAUACCGCCCAAGAGUUCAUAUCGACGGCGGUGUUUGGCACCUCGAUGUCGGCUCAUCACAUCCUGGGGCUGAAGUAGGUCCCAAGGGUAUGGCUGUUCGCCAUUUAAAGUGGUACGCGAGCUGGGUUUAGAACGUCGUGAGACAGUUCGGUCCCUAUCUGCCGUGGGCGCUGGAGAACUGAGGGGGGCUGCUCCUAGUACGAGAGGACCGGAGUGGACGCAUCACUGGUGUUCGGGUUGUCAUGCCAAUGGCACUGCCCGGUAGCUAAAUGCGGAAGAGAUAAGUGCUGAAAGCAUCUAAGCACGAAACUUGCCCCGAGAUGAGUUCUCCCUGACUCCUUGAGAGUCCUGAAGGAACGUUGAAG